rnacentral:rRNA from 1 species
AGAGCGUAGGGUGAAUGCCUAGGCACCAAAAGCCGAAGAAAGACGUGAUAAGCUGCGAAAAGCUAUGGGGAGGAGCAAAUAUCCAGAGAUCCAUAGAUAUCUGAAUGGGGGAACCCAUCAAAUGGUAAAUCAUUUGAUAUCCAUACAUGAAUACAUAGUGUAUGAGAAGGGAGACGGAGUGAACUGAAACAUCUAAGUAACUCCAGGAAAAGAAAAAGACAUUGAUUCCGAAAGUAGUGGCGAGCGAAAUCGGAGAAGCCCAAACCAGAGGUAGAAAUACCACUGGGGUUGAGGACUACAACAAGUUACUAAAAGUCAUAGUAGAAUUGUUUUGGAAAAGCAAACCAAAGGGAGUGAAAGUCUCGUAUACGAAAUGGCUUGAAGGACGAGUAGAAUCCAGAGUACGGCAGGGCACGUGAAAUCCUGUCGGAAGCAGGCCGGACCACCGGCCAAGGCUAAAUACUAAUUGGUGACCGAUAGUGAAGCAGUACCGUGAGGGAAAGUUGAAAAGAACCCCGGGAGGGGAGUGAAAUAGAACCUGAAACCCUAUGUUUACAAGCAGACAAAGCACGUUAAGGUGCGAUGUCGUACUUUUUGUAGAACGGUCCGGCGAGUUACGUGUAUGAUGCGAGGUUAAAUACUGUGUAAGGUAUGAAGCCGAAGGGAAACCGAGUGUGAAAAGCACGAAAAUAUAGUAUCAUGCAGUAGACCCGAAACCGAGUGACCUAUCCAUGAGCAGGUUGAAGCUUGAGUAAAAUCAAGUGGAGGACCGAACCGGUAUUCGUUGAAAAGGAUUCGGAUGACUUGUGGAUAGCGGAGAAAUUCCAAUCGAACUCGGAGAUAGCUGGUUCUCCUCGAAAUAGCUUUAGGGCUAGCCUUGUUUAGUAGCAUGUGGAGGUAAAGCACUGAAUAUGUGAGGGUUCUUACCAGAAUACCGAUCAUUAUCAAACUCUGAAUGCCAUGUGUGUAAGAACAGGAGUCAGACAGUGACAGCUAAGUGCCAUUGUCAAAAGGGAAAGAGCCCAGACCAACAGCUAAGGUCCCAAAAUUGUAGUUAAGUGGAAAAGGAUGUGGGAAUUCAUAGACAACCAGGAUGUUGGCUCAGAAGCAGCCAUUCAUUUAAAGAGUGCGUAAAAGCUCACUGGUCGAAGUAGGCCUGCGCCGAAAAUUACCGGGGCUAAACUACAUACCGAAGCUUUGGAUUUGGUACGUAAAGUAUUAAGUGGUAGAGGAGCGUUGUAUAAAGGUUGAAGCUAUACUGAAAAGAGUAGUGGACGAUAUACAAGAGAGAAUGCCGGAAUAAGUAGCGAGAGCACAGUGAGAAUCUGUGCCGCCGAAAACCUAAGGUUUCCUGGGGAAGGUUCGUCCGCCCAGGGUAAGUCGGGACCUAAGACGAGGCUAAAGCAGCGUAGUCGAUGGAAAGCAGGUAAAAGAUUCCUGCACUACCGAAAUGCGAUAUACAAUAUAUCAUGACGCAUCAGAGGAGUCUAAGCGAGCAAAUGGAAAAGUUCGUACCGCAAGGUGGAGUGAAAAAAUAGUAGCGAAGUAGACAAAUCAGGUGACAAGAAAAGUGAUAUAGGAGCAUAGAGGUACUCGUACCGUAAACCGACACAGGUGGGAAGAAAGAGAAUUUUCAGGCGAACGAGAGAAUCAUUGUUAAGGAACUCGGCAAAUUAACCCCGUAACUUAGGGAUAAGGGGAGCCAAUAGCGAUAUUGGUCGCAGAGAAAUGGCCCAAGCAACUGUUUAGCAAAAACACAGGUUUCUGCCAAAUCGAAAGAUGAAGUAUAGGAGCUGACGCCUGCCCAGUGCUGGAAGGUCAAGGGGAAGAGUAAACGUUUCGAUGUGAAGCUCUGAACUUAAGCCCCAGUGAACGGCGGCCGUAACUAUAACGGUCCUAAGGUAGCGAAAUUCCUUGUCAGGUAAGUUCUGACCCGCACGAAAGGCGUAAUGAUUUGGGCACUGUCUCGACAAUGAACUCGGCGAAAUUGUAGUACUAGUGAAGAUGCUAGUUACCUGUGAUAAGACAGAAAGACCCCAUGGAGCUUUACUGUAGCUUGAUAUUGAGACUAGGUAAGAGAUGUACAGAAUAGAUGGGAGACUAUGAGAUAAGGACGCCAGUUCUUAAGGAGUCACCUUUGGGAUACCAUCCUUCUUUUACUUGGAAUCUAACUAGUUACCAUGAUCUGGUAAUAGGACAGUGUCAGGUGGGCAGUUUGACUGGGGCGGUCGCCUCCUAAAGAGUAACGGAGGCGUUCAAAGGUCAGCUUAACACGGUCAGAAAUCGUGUGAUGACGUGCAAAGGCGUAAGCUGGCUUGACUGCGAGACUGACAGGUCGAGCAGACGCGAAAGCGGGACUUAGUGACCCGAUGGUUGUGAGUGGAAAUGCCAGAGCUCAACGGAUAAAAGUUACCCUGGGGAUAACAGGCUUAUCUCCCCCGAGAGUCCAUAUCGACGGGGAGGUUUGGCACCUCGAUGUCGGCUCAUCGCAUCCUGGAGCGGUAGUACGUUCCAAGGGUUGGGCUGUUCGCCCAUUAAAGCGGUACGCGAGCUGGGUUCAGAA